UAUGAUUAUGCUAUAGGAUCAGAAGUUAUUUCUAUAUGUUAUAGAAUUUAUUAUAAGCCGCUGUACACCUUAAAUCCUAGGUGUAAAAUAAUAGAGAAACCCAAUAAUGAAACUAUAGUUAUAGAAACAAAUUUUGGCAAGUCUAAUAUCACUACUAGGCGUAAAAUAAAAUGGGAAGAAAUAGACUUUCCAGAAAAUUGGAUAAUCGAUAAUAACAAUAAUCAACAGCCUUACAUAAAUAAUAAUCUUACAGAAAUAAUACAAACAUCUGAUGGAAAUAUCCAAUUACAGUUUGAAAAACCCAAACUGCCUAGAAUAACUAGAACUGAUUCCUCUACACAUCGCCAUAUAAGCCCUUUAGAUUAUAUUGUUAAAAGUCCAUCUAGGGCUUCAACAUCCCAAAUAAGAGAGGAGAUCCCUGAAAAUAGGAUAGAUGAACUAAGAAUCAACUCAGAUAAUAUAGUUAGAGGAAUUAGGAG
rnacentral:lncRNA from 1 species